CUCAGAUUGAACGCUGGCGGCAGGCCUAACACAUGCAAGCCGAGCGGAUGAAGAGAGCUUGCUCUCUGAUUCAGCGGCGGACGGGUGAGUAAUGCCUAGGAAUCUGCCUGGUAGUGGGGGACAACGUUUCGAAAGGAACGCUAACACCGCAUACGUCCUACGGGAGAAAGCAGGGGACCUUCGGGCCUUGCGCUAUCAGAUGAGCCUAGGUCGGAUUAGCUAGUUGGUGAGGUAAUGGCUCACCAAGGCGACGAUCCGUAACUGGUCUGAGAGGAUGAUCAGUCACACUGGAACUGAGACACGGUCCAGACUCCUACGGGAGGCAGCAGUGGGGAAUAUUGGACAAUGGGCGAAAGCCUGAUCCAGCCAUGCCGCGUGUGUGAAGAAGGUCUUCGGAUUGUAAAGCACUUUAAGUUGGGAGGAAGGGCAGUAAGUUAAUACCUUGCUGUUUUGACGUUACCGACAGAAUAAGCACCGGCUAACUCUGUGCCAGCAGCCGCGGUAAUACAGAGGGUGCAAGCGUUAAUCGGAAUUACUGGGCGUAAAGCGCGCGUAGGUGGUUUGUUAAGUUGGAUGUGAAAGCCCCGGGCUCAACCUGGGAACUGCAUCCAAAACUGGCAAGCUAGAGUACGGUAGAGGGUGGUGGAAUUUCCUGUGUAGCGGUGAAAUGCGUAGAUAUAG
rnacentral:rRNA from 1 species